GAUGAACGCUGGCGGUAUGCUUAACACAUGCAAGUCGAACGGACUCUUCGGAGUUAGUGGCGGACGGGUGAGUAACGCGUGAGAAUCUGGCUUUGGGUUCGGGACAACCACUGGAAACGGUGGCUAAUACCGGAUGUGCCGAGAGGUAAAAGAGAAAUUGCCUGAAGAUGAGCUCGCGUCUGAUUAGCUAGUUGGUGAGGUAAAGGCUCACCAAGGCAGCGAUCAGUAGCUGGUCUGAGAGGAUGACCAGCCACACUGGGUCUGAGACACGGCCCAGACUCCUACGGGAGGCAGCAGUGGGGAAUUUUCCGCAAUGGGCGAAAGCCUGACGGAGCAAUACCGCGUGAGGGAAGAAGGCUCUUGGGUUGUAAACCUCUUUUCUUAGGGAAGAACAAAAUGACGGUACCUAAGGAAUCAGCAUCGGCUAACUCCGUG
rnacentral:rRNA from 1 species